CUGACACUGUUUUGCCAGGUCUGCUGUCGAUGUCCCCAAAACGCAUCACACAUUCUUCUUCGGUGUGAGUUUGUCGGCGCCUUCUGGGCCGUCGUUGGUGUCAACGUCGACGCCUCCGCCAACAGCUCCAGGCUCCAUCUGUUCUCGUGCCCCGACUCCAUCGACGACAACGUGUUCUCCACCUUCAUUGCCCCAUCCUGCUACCACCUAUGGAAGAGGUGCAACAACUUUGUUUUAAUUUCAGAGGAGAAUCAACUUCCAUCAAUGCCACUCUUCGUGCUUGUCUGGCGGACGCCCGUCUGUGGGCUUACCGACUCAGGCCUCGCAAUAGGAGCAUAG
rnacentral:misc_RNA from 1 species